rnacentral:rRNA from 1 species
GUUGAACGCUGGCGGCAUGCCUUACACAUGCAAGUCGAACGGUAACGCGGGGCAACCUGGCGACGAGUGGCGAACUGGUGAGUAAUGUAUCGGAACGUGCCCAGUUGUGGGGGAUAACUGCUCGAAAGAGCAGCUAAUACCGCAUACGACCUGAGGGUGAAAGCGGGGGUCGCAAGACCUCGCGCAAUUGGAGCGGCCGAUAUCAGAUUAGGUAGUUGGUGGGGUAAAGGCCCACCAAGCCAACGAUCUGUAGCUGGUCUGAGAGGACGACCAGCUACACUGGGACUGAGACACGGCCCAGACUCCUACGGGAGGCAGCAGUGGGGAAUUUUGGACAAUGGACGCAAGUCUGAUCCAGCCAUGCCGCGUGCGGGAAGAAGGCCUUCGGGUUGUAAACCGCUUUUGUCAGGAAGAAACGCUCUGGGUUAAUACCUCGGGGUAAUGACGGU